rnacentral:rRNA from 1 species
UUAAGCAUUAAGGGCGUACGGUGGAUGCCUUGGUGCCAAGAGCCGAAGAAGGACGUGGUAAGCUGCGAUAAGCCUCGGGUAGCUGCAAACAAGCUUUGAUCCGGGGAUGUCCGAAUGGGAGUACCUGCUAGGAGUAAUGUCCUAGUAUCCUAUUGUGAAUCCAUAGCAAUGGGAAGGUAAGCGAGGGAACUGAAACAUCUUAGUACCUCGAGGAAAGAAAAGAAAAAUCGAUUCCCUUAGUAGUGGCGAGCGAAACGGGAAUAGCCUAAACCGUCUAUGUGUAAGCCCACAGGCGUUGCAUGGGCGGGGUUGCAGGAUUUGUGGCGGAGUGCUGUGGAACUCCAAAGGAAUCAUCAAGCUUUAGUCGAAGGGUCUGGAAAGUCCCACCAUAGGAGGUAAUAGUCCUGUAGACGAAAAGGUUUGGUGGCCUUCACAAACACCUAAGUAGCACGGGCCACGUGGAAUCCCGUGUGAAUCCGGGAGGACCAUCUCCCAAGGCUAAAUACUCUUGGCGACCGAUAGUGAAGCAGUACCGUGAGGGAAAGGUGAAAAGCACCCCGGGAGGGGAGUGAAAUAGAACCUGAAACCGUAUGCUUACAAUCAGUGGUAGGACUAUUAGAUAGUCUGUCCGCGUACUUUUUGUAGAACGGACCGGCGAGUUAUGGUAUGUAGCGUUAGGUUAAGCCGUAAUAGGUGUAGCCGCAGGGAAACCGAGUCUUAAUAGGGCGAAAUAGUUGCAUGCCAUAGACCCGAAACCGGGUGAUCUAGCCAUGGCCAGGGUGAAGCGCGUGUAAGAGCGCGUGGAGGCCCGCACCCACCAAUGUUAAAAAAUUGGGGGAUGAGCUGUGGGUAGGGGUGAAAAGCCAAUCGAACCCGGAGAUAGCUGGUUCUCCUCGAAAUAGCUUUAGGGCUAGCCUCAAGAUUUAAUCUUUGGGGGUAGAGCACUGAUUGGGCUAGGGGCCCCAAAAGGUUACCGAACCCAUUCAAACUCCGAAUACCGAAGAGAAUAUCUUGGGAGUCAGACUGUGGGGGAUAAGCUCCAUAGUCGAAAGGGAAAGAGCCCAGACCGCCAGCUAAGGUCCCCAAAUACGGACUAAGUGGUAAAGGAUGUGAGGUUGCUCAGACAACCAGGAUGUUGGCUUAGAAGCAGCCACUCAUUUAAAGAGUGCGUAAUAGCUCACUGGUCAAGUGGCCUUGCGCCGAAAAUGUCCGGGGCUAAGUCCGUUACCGAAGCUGCGGAUCGUGUCGAUUACCUUACUGUUUCAGCUUUGAUUUCAAACUGGCCAGUAAGGAUAUUUAGCUAAAACCGACCAUUCAUUUUAAAGGAAGGUUUUGACCAAAUGCUCUAGCUAAGUUGUUUUAAAGCUGGAAUUGUAAGGUAAUCGAUGCGGUGGUAGGGGAGCGUUCUGUGUGGGCAGAAGCCGUAUCGAAAGAAGCGGUGGACUGCACAGAAGUGAGAAUGCCGGUAUGAGUAGCGAUAAGGAAGGUGAGAAUCCUUCCCGCCGUAAACCCAAGGUUUCCUGAGGAAGGCUCGUCCUCUCAGGGUUAGCCGGGGCCUAAGCCCAGGCCGAAAGGCGUAGGCGAUGGAUAAUCGGUUGAUAUUCCGAUGCCAGCUCGUUAUCGUUUGAGAGAUGUGGUGACGCAGUAGGGUAGACCAUCAUGGUGGUGGAAUACCAUGUCCAAGCAUGUAGGAGGAAGCAUUAGGCAAAUCCGAUGCUUCAUAACUCUAAGGUGUGAUGGGGAGCCUCCAAGGAGGCGAACUGGUUAAGCCCACACUGCCAAGAAAAGCCGCUAUCGAGAUAACAGCUGCCCGUACCGUAAACCGACACAGGUAGGUAGGGAGAGAAUCCCAAGGCGCGCGAGAGAACCCUCGUUAAGGAACUCGGCAAAAUGACCCCGUAACUUAGGGAGAAGGGGUGCCCCAUUAUUGUGAUCCCGUUUACCGGGUGAGCAAGAAGGGGCCGCAGUGAAAUGGCCCAAGCGACUGUUUAGCAAAAACACAGGUCUCUGCUAAGACGAUAAGUCGAAGUAUAGGGGCUGACGCCUGCCCGGUGCUGGAAGGUCAAGGGGAGAUGUUAGCGCAAGCGAAGCAUUGAACUUAAGCCCCAGUAAACGGCGGCCGUAACUAUAACGGUCCUAAGGUAGCGAAAUUCCUAGUCGGGUAAGUUCCGACCUGCACGAAUGGCGUAACGAUUUGGGCGCUGUCUCGACGAGGGACUCGGUGAAAUUGUAUUGUGAGUGAAGAUGCUCACUACCCGCGACAGGACAGAAAGACCCCGUGGAGCUUUACUGUAGCCUGAUAUUGGAUUUUAGUGCAACUUGUACAGGAUAGGUGGGAGGCAGAGAAACUGGGACGCUAGUCUCGGUGGAGCCGUCCUUUGGAUACCACCCUGGUUGUGCCGGAGUUCUAACCACUGACCGUUAUCCGGUCAUGGGACAGUGUCUGGUGGGCAGUUUGACUGGGGCGGUCGCCUCCUAAAAGGUAACGGAGGUGCCCCAAGGUUUCCUCAGUGCGGUUGGAAAUCGCACAAAGAGUGUAAAGGCAGAAGGGAGCUUAACUGCGAGACCAACAAGUCGAGCAGAUACGAAAGUAGGGCUUAGUGAUCCAGCGGUGGAGUAUGGAAUCGCCGUUGCUCAACGGAUAAAAGUUACCCCGGGGAUAACAGGCUUAUCUCCCCCAAGAGUUCACAUCGACGGGGAGGUUUGGCACCUCGAUGUCGGCUCGUCACAUCCUGGGGCUGUAGCAGGUCCCAAGGGUUGGACUGUUCGUCCAUUAAAGUGGCACGCGAGCUGGGUUCAGAACGUCGUGAGACAGUUCGGUCCUUAUCCGUCGCGGGCGUAGGAUAUUUGAGGAGUGCUGUCCCUAGUACGAGAGGACCGGGAUGGACGCACCUCUGGUGUACCAGUUGUUCCGCCAGGAGCAUUGCUGGGUAGCUAUGUGCGGAAUGGAUAAACGCUGAAAGCAUCUAAGCGUGAAGCCAUCUCCAAGAUGAGAUAUCCCACUUCUUUUGAAGGUAAGGCCCCUGGAAGAAGACCAGGUUGAUAGGCCGGGUGUGUAAGGGCAGUAAUGCUUUUAGCUUACCGGUACUAAUAGGCCGAGGGCUUAAUCUU